UACGGGGGGGGCAAGCGUUGUUCGGAACUACUGGGCGUAAAGGGCUCGUAGGUGGCCAACUAAGUCAUACGUGAAAUCCCUCGGCUUAACCGGGGAACUGCGUCUGAUACUGGAUGGCUUGAGGUUGGGAGAGGGAUGCGGAAUUCCAGGUGUAGCGGUGAAAUGCGUAGAUAUCUGGAGGAACACCGGUGGCGAAGGCGGCAUCCUGGACCAAUUCUGACACUGAGGAGCGAAAGCCAGGGGAGCAAACGGG
rnacentral:rRNA from 1 species